GACCAACACCUCUGGGUCAUCGCUGCCUACGAGGCCCUCCAUUUUCCCACGUGAGCCUGUGCGGCCAUUAGCCCAAUGUCCUCCAGCUCAUUCCUCUUUCUGCCACAUUCUGACCUCUGGAAAAUUAGGUCUGUUAAUACUUUGGGACGUUUGUCCUAAUGAUAGUUCUGAACUGAUUUAGAUAAGAAAGAAUGCAUAUAAUUUUAAACAAUUUCUUUUAUCAUGCAUGAUAUAUUUAUCCAUCGUCAUAACUGAAUGAGAAGAAGAAAGGGCGUUCGUCAUCAAGUGAGGAAAGAAAUAUUUUCACCAUUAGCAAAAAAGCUGUAUAUUUGGUAAGCACCUAACUGCAUAUCAAAGAGACUUACACAUCUUGUUUCUUGUCUUUGAGGAGCUGCCCGUUCUGAGAGGAAAUCAUGUAAAUGAAGCAGGAACUUUGGCAUAAAGAACGAUAGCUCCACGAGGACUGGGAUCUUUGUGGUUUUGCUAUAUUCACCCCACAGCGAAUCCAGUGUGUGUGGCGGUGUGAUUCCUUUCUGCCACGCUAACUCACUCUGCAGCAGUUUCCGUGGGUGAGGAAUCCAGCCCAGCCUGACUGAAUGCCUCUCUUCAGAGUCUCUCCCAAGUCUGCAAUCAAGGGGUCAGCCAGGAUGGCAGCCUUCUCAAGGCUCAACGAGGGGAGGAUCCAAUUCCAAGGAUGAAAUGGAUUCUAGAGAUGGCUGAUUGUAAUGGCUACACAACAAAAUGAAUGCACUUAGGUCUUGAAAACUCCAGAACAUCACAGGCAACCUGCCCAAGUUUCCUGAGGGAGAAGCCAGACCAGGAGAGACUUUGUCGUCAUGAUUCCUACAAGGACCAACAAUUGAGAACCUGGCAGUAUUUGCACAUAUUGUAGGAACGAAAAAGAAAGGAGCAAAUGGACACAAUCACCUCCAAAAAGUGAUAACAUUCAGUAAUAAGAUGACACUGGCUGACAUUCAGAAGACAUUGGAUAUCUUCUCUUCUAGGGCUUGGAAUUUUUCUACCCAGCUAAGAAGGCAACAACCCCAAGAUCCCUCCAUGGAAAUGGCGCUGAGUGUAUGAUCCUGCAGACAUCUUGCCACCAAGGGAAUACCUGCCUGAGAAGGACCAGAAGGAGAAAGUGGAGCCCAAUACAGAAGGAGUGGGGACCUAACGAUAUACUUUCAGGUGUCUCUCAGGGUCUCAGGUUUCCUGAUUGAAAUGUGCCGAAGCAAUUGAAAUGUGGUACCUCAGUGAAUUACUGUCAGACACCGUAACCUUUAGACCAGCUAGAAUCUUGUCGUGAGAGGAGACCGUGUACGUUGGUGAAAGUUUAGAAUAAAGAAUCCCCCUUAUUCAAUCAACUAACAAAGACCCAUGGAGUACCCCGGUGGGGUCCCCAAAGAAGAUGCAAAGAAGAAAAAUACAAUCUUUGCCCUGAAGGAGUCGUCAUCUUUUGAGGAAACAAAACAUCAUGUCAUAGUUAUACUGUAGUGAGCUCAAGCUCUCAAACCCAAUAAAAUAUGGGAUAUUCA